rnacentral:rRNA from 1 species
UACGUAGGGUGCGAGCGUUAAUCGGAAUUACUGGGCGUAAAGCGUGCGCAGGCGGUUCGUUAAGUCAGAUGUGAAAGCCCCGGGCUCAACCUGGGAACUGCAUUUGAAACUGGCGGGCUUGAGUAUGGCAGAGGGGGGUGGAAUUCCGCGUGUAGCAGUGAAACGCGUAGAGAUGCGGAGGAACACCGAUGGCGAAGGCAGCCCCCUGGGCCAAUACUGACGCUCAGGCACGAAAGCGUGGGGAGCAAACAGG